UAUAUCUAUCAGUUAUUGUCCUUAUGCACUUUUUUUUUUCUUUUUUUUUUAAAGAAAAUGGUAGAAAUGCACAGCAGUGAAACAACUCACAAGUUAUUGAUAAAUCCAACAUACUCUGCACAAAGAACUGAACCUAAAGAUGUUUUCUCCUUGUCAUUCUUAGGUGUUUUCUUCCAAUUAUUUUUGCAAGUGUCAAUACAAUUGGAGUAAGCACUGUAUGGAUGCUGAUGCCUCAAUCACCUACCAAUCGUUGCCUUUCUAGUCUUGAUUGGUUGUGACUCUGAUUGAAAGUUUGUUAUGAUGGACCUACAUUCAUUCUACACAAGCACUUCAAAAUAUGAAGAAUCCAUGGACAUGAAUAAAGGUAUUGGGUACCUGGUUUGGCAUCCCUACCAACUUGCCCAAUACUGUCCAAAAUAAGAAAAAACCGAUUCCUAUUUCACUAUAAAUUUCCUCAUGUGCUUUCUUUGAUCACACUUGUAUGCUACCCUAUAGAAAAAGGAAAAAGCAGGCCUUUUUUAUUUUUAUUUUUUUUGAUAAUAUUGCCAUGCUUUUGUUGUAAGAUUUGGGGAUUAGAUGAAUUCAGCACCUAGAAAAAGACACAGGUGGUACUUGUAUCUAACUCCUGUAACAUAGAGAUAGUGCUUAAUCUUAGUUUUGAGAGAAAAAAAAAAAAAGGAAGAGAAAAAUGGUAGAAGAUGAAAGAAGUGAGAGUAGAAUAACUUGGUAGCUUGGCAAAGCUUUGGUGACCUCCAAGUUCUGCAGCAGUGACUUAGCACAUGUCUUUGUAUUGAGAUAAGAGUUUAUUGUACUGUGGUUUUAUCUGAUGUUUCUAUAUCUUGGUCUUGCAUA